CCCUUCCAGUCACAAACACGGAAAAGGACCUGGGAGAGGACUUGAAGACAGGUCUUCUCUGUUUCUUUCUUGCCAGAUUUUGUUUCUGGUUCUCUGACAUCCUUCAAAGAUGCAUACAUAGGCUUCUCUGACAUCUUGAGGCAACCGGAGACAGCAUGAAAAGCACUCUGAGGAUUACAGCUGGGUGGAGAGACUCCUCUCAGUACCUGGGCCUACUUCUGUUGUCUUACCUCCACUGAGAGGGAUUGGGCCAACCACUUCAGUCCCUUGGCAGUGUUAUAAGACAGUCUGGAGACUGCCUGAGCUCUAUUGUGUGCACCUUAAGAAACAAAAGCAAAGACCAAAGAUGUCUCUGGCAGCAUUGGAUCACAGACAAACUGCAGGACUCGUGGUCUACAAGGAGGGGCUCCCAGAUCGUAAGUUCAGCAGAAUCUGGUUGGGCUGUGAAGAACAGCAUAGAGGAAGGAGUUGAGGGACUCCUGUCACUUGAGCUUCAGAUGGUUUUUCUCGUUGUGUCUCCAGACCUUCUAGGUGGUUCUAAGAUAUUUCAGAGAUGGGAAUGGCCUUUGAGUGCCACUUACAGAACAAAGUUCAAGAGAGGUGGGCAGAGCCUCCUCCAUCUAAAACCCAACCCAAAAUCUCCCUGAAAACAGUGCUUUAUGUAUUUUGGUAAUUAGUCCCAUUUAUAAAUACAUUGAUUUUGUAAUUGUAACAGACAGGCAAGGUGGUUCAGUGGGCGAAGGUGCUUGCCAACAACCCCAUGACCCAAGUUCAAUCUCCAGAACCCACAUGACAGACGAGGAGAACCAACUCCAGAAAAUUGUGUGUGAGUGUUCGCAUGUAGCACCCAAAAAACUAUAAUGAAAAUGCUUGUGUCUGAAUGUGUGUAUGUACAGCACCCACAAAACUGUAAUGAAAAUGUUUGUGUGUAUGCAGGGAUGAAGCUGAGUUGUACAUAAUUAGUAAAUGGAAAUAAGGAAGAAGUGCCCUUCAACUCCACCAUCCUAAACUAUUUUUUAGCACUGCUGCCUUUCAUUCUGGCCUGGUCCUCCAUUCUCCGUCUCCCACACCCCCAGUAUUGAUUAUGAUGACCAAGCAAACAUCCCUGAGAGUUGGUGAAUGAAUGUUUGGUAGCACUGGACUUGCUAAAUGCAUUUGUAAUUCCAGCACUCGGGAGGCAGAGGCAGGCAGAGCUAUGUGAUUUGAAGUUCAGCCUGCUCAACAGAGCAAGUUCUAGGUUUGCCAGGACCAAAAGUGAAUGCAGGCUGUCAAAAUGGCUCAGCAGGUAGAAGCACCUUCGACUGAGCCUGAAAACCUAAGUUUGAUUCCCAGGGGUUCUUGCGGUGGAAGGAGGAAACCAGAGAGGGAAAGCUGUCCUCUAUGACCAUGCUCUGACCAUGCUGUGGUACGAGAGUAUGUACACAACAAAUACAAAUAAAGAAAACAUUUAAAAAGUGUACCACCCCAAAAAUCUUCAGUUGCAUUCUUUGUAAGAACUUGGCUCUUUAAGGGUGCUGGGAAUCCAGAGAGUCCAGACACAGAAAAGCCAUGCUGUUUUAAACCCACAUAACUCCACU